ACAGAUUUUGCAAAAUCGUGUGAUUGUUCCUUGUGUAAUUCUCGAAAUAAAACAAUCAGUUCCAACAUAUCAACUGAAGAAAUGCAACAAUCCAUUGAUAAAAUUGUCAGUGAUAUUAAAGUAGACAAAAAAUCAACUUCACAUUACAAACGGACGCUCACCAGUGCGGAAGACAAACGAUUAAGUUCGCGUGUGAUUGGUAUAUCCGGUACUGUUAUUCUAAUUUUCAGUUUGGUAUUUAUACUUGGUACGGAUAUUGGAAAUUUAUUCAAUGCCUUGAGGGCCAUGUAUAGGCGACUGAAAGGACUGAAUUAAAAACGGUAUGAAUGAAAUACUUGACGUUUUUAUGUUGUUUCAGGAAUGGAACUUUAAUGUGCUGAAAGUGCAUAACAGCUAACAAACUGGGAUUAAUUUAGAUCUUACAAGCAUUCAAAUAUCGACUAUUCAGAUGGUACAUAACACUACAGGGAGAUAACUCUGUAAAAAGCAACCGAACGUUUUAACACUGUUCUAUUGUUGUUGAGGAAAUACCAAUGAUCAACUGCUAUAUAUACAAUGAAGUUUUCCCAAUAAAGUGUGAGGUUCAAGUUUUUUUUUUUAAUUUUUAUAUUUUUGUCAAAGUUUCAAAGUUAAUAUUAUGUCCAACUUUUAUGAAAAUUAAUCGAG
rnacentral:lncRNA from 1 species